AUUAAAGGUGUGAGCCACUGCACCCGGCCGGCCUUGUACUUUUGAGGCGGUGUUGACUCUUGCAAUCCAUAGCUUUGAGAGCUCCCCAUCCGAAUCUCAGGCACACUUGACUUUUUCACUCUCGUAGGAGUGAUCUCCUUAGUCCAUCGAUCAAACUGCUGAGAGCAGGCCAUGGCCUGCCUGCUGUCAUGGCCCGUGAAGCAGAAUUGGAGAUGAGAGGGGAGGACCUGGGCUGGAGAGUGGGCAGGAGGAGAUCCUGCAAACAGGGAACUGAGAGAGGGGAGGGAGGAGGAGGGUUUGAGAGUGGGGAGGGGAGCUGGGGGUGCUCCCUGAAGACCAGGAGGAGAGGAAGGAGGGGAGCUGCAGGCUAUGAACGGGGCUGCAGGUUAUGAAUGGGGCACUCCGGCGUUCUGAGAACUGAGCACUCCGACAUUCUGAGAACUGGGCACAGGGGCACCAGGCCCUAAGUGAGUUCUGCUCCGGGGUGGCCGGGCCCGAGAGCACUGACGUCCAACGGGAGUGUCGCUGCCCACCGCCUCCCACAAGAGGACACUUCGAUUUGCCAGAGAAGGGCAGAGUGGGAGAUGACUUUUUCUCAGCAUCUUGCCUCAUUUUCCUCUUCCCAGAGGUUUGUUUUUAAGGAAGUUUAAGCUUGCUGCACUGGAAAAGCAAAAAACAAUAUUUUGUAAAAUAAAUAUUUGUUUUGUGCAGACUUAGGCCUUUCCACAUAUUGGUUUUUCUUGAAGAGGAGACACAACCACAGCAGGGGUGAGGAGAAGAGAGAUGCAGUCACUCACUCAUUCAGGAAUAAUCUUUGAGUUGAAACUGCAGUCUGCUCUUGGCCAAAGGUAGGGUGCUGACCACCUUCACCUGGAGGCCGCCUUCACCUGGAGGCCGCCCACCACCUUCACCUGGAGGCUGCCCUUGCUCUUUCAGGAUCCUCUUUCAUGGGUUUCUGCAGAGCCACGGGGUCAGAGCACAUAUGUGGGCCAUGAGGACUUUUCCUUUGCACCCCAACACAUCUCUACCCGUCCUCCCUGCACCCCCAACCCGAAGACGGGCGUGUGAUCCUGUGGGUGGGUGCAUGGUCCGUGUGUGUAAUUUUGUCCGGAGCAGUAAUUCUCGGAGUGGGCCCCAGACCCGCAGUGUAAGCAUUGCCUGGUGCUGUGGUUUGGACGUGUGUCCCCUCCACAUCUCAUGUUGAAAUGUAUCCCCAGUGUUGGAGUGAGGCCUACGGACAGGGGUUUGGGUCAAGGGUCAGAUCCCUCAGGAAUGGCUUCCUGCCGACCCCACCUGCCAGUCAUGAGCGGGCCCUUGCUCAAUUAGUUCCUGCGUGAGCCAGGUGUUAAAAGAGCGUGGCCCCUCCCUCCCUUUGGCUUCCUCUCCCACUGUGCCCUCUGCACACAUGGCUCCCCUUCACCCUCCACCCUAAGUGGGAGCAGGCUGAGGCCCCACCAGAAGCAGAUUCUGUUGCCAGGCUUCUUGUACAGCCUGCAGAACUGUGAGCCAAAGAGACCACUUUUCUUUAGAAGUUGCCCGGCCCCAGGUGUCCCUUGAUAGCCACACAAAUGUUCACCUGUGAACUUGCUAUAAAUUCAGAUUCUCAGGCCCCACCCAGACCUGCUGAGUCAGAAACUCCAGCAGGGGCCUGGAAGUCUGCCUUUUACCAGGAACCUGUGUGAUUCCCAUACAGAGUUUGAGAACCUCUGGUCUCUGGAACUGCAUGCUUUAAAUGGGUGCAUUUUACGUAUGUGGAUUAUAUCUUUAAAAAGAUAUCCAAAGACAAACAAAAAGAUAAUUGACUACCUGAAGCAAAGACGGGAAAAGUGUAUUGUGGGGUUUGUAACAUGCAGAAGCAAAUCUGUGGUAACAACAGUACCAAGGAUGGGAGGCAGGAAGUACAGGCGCUGCUGUCAGGUUACUACAUGUAUGUGAAGUGGUAGAAUAUUGUGUAAUGGCAGACUGAGAAGCUACAGCUGUAACUUUAUCAUAAGCCCUAUUGCAACCAUGAAUAGCUACACUAAGAGGUAUAACAAGGCAAUAGUGAAGAUGAAAUGAAAUAAUAAAAAAAUACUCAGC
rnacentral:lncRNA from 10 species